GUGGGGCGCGUCCCGCGGCCGCGCGAUCGGGCCGAGCUCGCCAUGCGGCGACGGCGACGCCGCCGGGAACGGGCUCCGCGGCGGCAGCAAUGCCUGCUUCUGGAGCCUCGCGUUCGCCAUCAUGGCGUGCUCACCCUCUGCGCCGAAAAAUUGCAACAAAACGUCAAAAAAAAACCCCGAAAAAUUUCUGAGAUUUGAGAAACUUUCACGCUAAACCACGCCACGAAAAUCAUACAAUUCGGAUAGAAUUCAUGGUUUCUUGCAGCACCAGACACAGAUCUCAUCUGGGAAGCACCGCAAAUGUGAAAAAUCGAAUUACAAGGCCAGAAAUCCCCAUUUGAGGACGCCAUUUUGGGUGCGGAAGCAUCGAAUACUCACAAACACAGAACGAACGCUCAAGAUAGACCAUUACCAAAACACGGAUACCAAAAAAAAAAAACAGAGAGAGAGAGACGAAUUUAAACCGGAUUUGCCCCCAGAACGUGAAAUAUUUCAUCAAGCAGACAACAGAAAACAAAUUUGGUGGACAAACAACCGAAUCCAAUCGUAAUUUCCCGGACCAAACUAGAUCAAGCGCCAAUCCGUACAAAGAUAUCAUCACAAGAAAGAGUAUGAAGCUGCCAAGAACAUGAACAAAUGAGAAGGAAACACGCACCAAUUCAGCCGCCUCUUCCAGCAAGACCCUAAUCAGCUCAGCCCUCGAUUCCUCGGCUCCUAAUCUCGGAUUAGAGGAUUAGUGCGUCGUUCAUCAGGAGAGAGGAGAGAGAGGGGCAAGAAGCGGAUAAAUGGAGAAAAAGAAGAAACCGGGGAGAGAAAA
rnacentral:lncRNA from 1 species